CAAGAGGCCCAGCAUGUGCUGUUCCUCAGCAAGAACCAGGCCAUCCGGCAGCCAGAGGUGCAGGCAGCUCCCAAGGAGAAGUCUGAGCAGAAAAAAGCAAAAAAAGCGUUCCAGAAGCGGCGACUAGAUAAAGUCCGACGGAAAAAGGAGGAAAAGGCGGCAGACAGGCUGGAGCAGGAGUUGCUCCGAGACACGGUGAAGUUUGGUGAGGUUGUCCUGCAGCCCCCAGAGCUGACUGCCAGGCCCCAGAGGAGCGUAAGCAAGGACCAGCCUGGCAGGAGAUCGCAGAUGCUGCGGAUGCUUCUGAGCCCCGGUGGUGUGUCCCAGCCUCUGACCGCCUCCCUGGCCCGCCAGCGGAUUGUGGAGGAGGAGAGAGAGCGGGCCGUGCAGGCCUACAGAGCGUUGAAGCAGCGGCAGCAGCAGCUGCACGGGGAGCGACCCCACCUCACUUCCCGGAAGAAGCCAGAGCCGCAGCUGUGAUGGAGAGACACCCGGGGCCUGGCCACGCUCUGGGGCAACUGGCACCAGGAGCUGCUACACCUGGGUAGGAGAGAGGCAGGCCAUGCCAGCAGUGUGGGGUGAGGCCUCCAGCUACUUGUUCACACGUUGGGCACUAGUGGGUCCACAUCUUGCAGGGGGUGAGUGCCCGAUGGACUAGGGCCAAGGCCUGGUUGACAGACGGCCCGUGGGGCCCGGUGUCACUCACAGCUCCAUCUCUUUGUUUUGAACGUCCAUUCUGAGUCUCAGCCCAGGUGGACCUUAGGAAGGGCUGGAUCCCUGUCCCUGAACACCAAAUACCGAGACAGCUGAUGAGGCUGGCUCAGUGUGUGACGGAGGCCCCCGGGAGUCAGCAGAGCCGAGCGUACAGUGCACAUCAGGCAGAGCAGGCCACGGGCAGGGACGACGCAUCGGGACAGGGCUCUGCAGGGGACCGUGACUACAGGCCAGCUGUGAGUGGUCCCCUACAGAGGCUGCCCACCCAAGGUUUGGUUGGGGUGAAACAUGAUGACAACACAUACACUUAAGAAGGUGGGAACCGGGGGCCGGGCGCGGUGGCUCACACCUGUAAUGCCAGCACUUUGGGCAGCUGAGGCGAGUGGAUCACCUGAGGUCAGGAGUUCGAACCAGCCUGGCCAACAUGGUGAAACUGCAUCUCUAC
rnacentral:lncRNA from 1 species